rnacentral:misc_RNA from 1 species
UCCGAGUUGACCCCGGCAGUCUCCUGCGAGUCCCCGCCAUUACGCGCUGGCAACACAGGACAAGGGUUGCGCUCGUUGCGGGACUUAACCCAACAUCUCACGACACGAGCUGACGACAGCCAUGCAGCACCUGUGCUAGUGCCCCGAAGGGGGGCCCGGCUUUCACCGGGCUUUCACUAGCAUGUCAAAUCCAGGUAAGGUUCUUCGCGUUGCUUCGAAUUAAACCACAUAAUCCACCGCUUGUGCGGGCCCCCGUCAAUUUGUUUGAGUUUUAGUCUUGCGACCGUACUCCCCAGGCGGAGCACUUAAUGCGUUAGCUGCGUCACUGAAGGAGUCAAUACCUCCAAUAACUAGUGCUCAUCGUUUACGGCGUGGACUAC